rnacentral:lncRNA from 1 species
AUGGCGGAGGGGAGGGCGAGAGCGGAGAAGCCUGAAAAGUCACAGCGAGCUGGAGCAGCCAGAGGACCUGAAGAGGAAGCAGAAAAACCUGUGAAAACGAAGACCGUUUCUUCUAGUAAUGGAGGGGAAAGUUUCAGUCGCAGCACUGAGAAGGGUCAGCUGAAGGAGCUGCAGACCUCCCAACGGAGUCUACAAAGAUCUCCACAUUGGAUUCGCCAUAGGUAGUCAGAUGAUGAAGAAGACAUCAGCCAUGGCCAUCACACUCGGGUCAGGGAGUGAAGCGGAGGAAAUGCCUCCAGAAGCCAAGCUGAGGAUAAAGAAUUCUGGAAGAUCCCCACCAACACCAGCCGGACCAAACUCCUUCAAUAAAGGAGUUUGGGUUUUCUGAUAACCAGAAGUUAUGGGAGCAAAAUAUAAAAUUUCAUCUUGGAAAUGUCCGUGAACAAGACAAUUAA